CGCUGUCGCUAGGGGUGGUAUUGCUGAGAGCUGGAUCGGAUUUGGACGUCCUGCAACCCUUAGAACCUGAACCGGAUAAUACCGGCGGAGGGAAGCGGCACGGUCGUUUU
rnacentral:ncRNA from 2 species